rnacentral:rRNA from 1 species
AGUGAGCGCUGGCGGUAGGCCUAACACAUGCAAGUCGAACGGCAGCACAGUAAGAGCUUGCUCUUACGGGUGGCGAGUGGCGGACGGGUGAGGAAUACAUCGCAAUCUACUUUUUCGUGGGGGAUAACGUAGGGAAACUUACGCUAAUACCGCAUACGACCUACGGGUGAAAGCAGGGGAUCUUCGGACCUUGCGCGAUUGAAUGAGCCGAUGUCGGAUUAGCUAGUUGGCGGGGUAAAGGCCCACCAAGGCGACGAUCCGUAGCUGGUCUGAGAGGAUGAUCAGCCACACUGGAACUGAGACACGGUCCAGACUCCUACGGGAGGCAGCAGUGGGGAAUAUUGGACAAUGGGCGCAAGCCUGAUCCAGCCAUACCGCGUGGGUGAAGAAGGCCUUCGGGUUGUAAAGCCCUUUUGUUGGGAAAGAAAAGCAGCAGGUUAAUACCCCGCUGUUCUGACGGUACCCAAAGAAUAAGCACCGGCUAACUUCGUG